GUGAGGAAUAUUGGUCAAUGGGCGCAAGCCUGAACCAGCCAUGCCGCGUGCAGGAAGACGGUCCUAUGGAUUGUAAACUGCUUUUAUUUGGGAAUAAACUCCGGUACGUGUACCGGCCUGAAGGUACCAAAUGAAUAAGCACCGGCUAACUCCGUGCCAGCAGCCGCGGUAAUACGGAGGGGGCAAGCGUUAUCCGGAACCAUUGGGUUGAAAGGGUCCGCAGGCGGUCUUAUAAGUCAGUGGUGAAAGCCUACAGCUCAACUGUAGAACUGCCAUUGAUACUGUAGGACUUGAAUUCGAUCGAAGUGGGCGGAAUGUGACAUGUAGCGGUGAAAUGCUUAGAUAUGUCACAGAACACCGAUAGCGAAGGCAGCUCACUAGGUCUGGAUUGACGCUCAGGGACGAAAGCGUGGGGAGCAAACAGGAUUAGAAACCCGAGUAGUCC
rnacentral:rRNA from 1 species